rnacentral:lncRNA from 1 species
UCAGAUUGAAUAUUUACAAUGGUAUCAAAGAAUCCUAAACAAAUCUAGAUGUUCAAAAUAAGUAGUUAAUCCACGGAAAUCAUGAUACGAAUUUAAACAUGGAUUGAAUCAUCAAUACUAACCUAAACAAUUUUGAACAAAAUCAAACAGGAGAUGUUCAUCAUCUAACCUAAAUCCAUACUACAUAAGUUUAAACAACAUGUACCCAACAAAACAGCUUUUCUAGCCAAGUAGCAAGCUACAUUUCAAAUCCAAACUUGAAAGAGAGGUAUAAUUUUAGGAACAUGACUGAGCAAAGGAAACACAUAAAAUAAAGCUAAAAACUGUAAAAGGCUAGACAAAUUUAAAAGAAACAGUGAGAAUCAAUUGGAAAGGCUACAUCUAUCAUUAGAUCUUCGGAAUUCAAAUACAUAUUCCAAACUUACACUUCAUAUAUCAGGGUCCCAAAAGAUACCUGAAAAUAAAGCAAAAUGGGGUGAGGACCUCAGCAAGAGUAGAAAUAUGAGUAAAGCAAAUAAAUUAACAACAAACUUCAGAUUGCUGAACUUUCUUUAAAUCCAGAGAAUCACAAUUCUCAUGAAAGUUCUUUUAAUUCUUAAAAAAAAAACAGAAAAGAAGAAAACCCAACCAGCAAUGCAGAAACUCUUUUUUUUUUGUAAUUUUUAAGGUAUGAAAGUCUGAUGGAUUUUUCAGGACUUAGGUGCAGAGAAUAAUGCUUAAUUCUGUCCUUGAGAGUGAAGGAAGGGCACUACAUAUAGGCCUCUAAGGCCAUGUGCUCAAAAACAGAAUUAAGGAAUUAUUCUCAGCCUGCAAAAGACAUCUUUUAACUAACUGGGACAACUGGUUGUCCCUUAUUGGCUCAGCAUAUUUGUGCUAACCAAAUAGGGACAGCUACCCCUUAUUUUGGAAGCUUCCAAAUGCAGAAAUUACUUUAAAAAGUCCCUAUUUUAUUUUCCAACUUAACCCCCUAAGUUUCAACUGUUCAAUUAACCCCCUAAGGGUUUCUAACAAUUAGCAAAUUAUGGCAAACAAGAACAAAGCAGGCAGCAUUGGAAAUUAAUAUCAAAUAACAUCAAAAAUGCAAUUAAACCUUCAGACUAAUCCUAAAUUCAUUUAACAUGAACCAAAUUAGCAAUGAAAUAGAAAUAGAAAUAACUCCAACCCAAUACUCACACGAGCCCAGAACUAACAAUGAUGAACCAUUAUCUAAGAACUACCCCAAUUGAACAUACCAACAUGCUAGGCUAAGGAAUUAUACUGAUUCAAAGUUAAACUAAUUAGACUAGAGAACGUACUGAUCAAACCCAGAAUCAUGCAACAAAAUGAAAUCUAGACUAGCAAAAUAAAAAUGCUGAUUUCACAAUUAAACUAAUUAGACGCAUACUAAACCAAAUUAACAGGACCUAACAAAACUACUAACUAAGUAUGCAUAAUCAAGAAAGAACAAAGAAACGAAAAACCUAACAACCCAGGAUUAUGGCUAACUAAACUUCUUCAUUUUUUGGUCAAAGAAAGAGAAAACAAAAAGUAAAAGAAAACAGAGUGAUGCAAAAGAGAAUAAGGUAAAGAAGAAAAGAAGGAUGAGGAAAUAGAAAGAGGAAAGAAGGAUGGAUAUACCUACCGCAUGAACGAACAGUGACUCUGGGGGACCCAGCAUUCUCCGAUUUAAAUCAAAAAUAGGUGUCAAACAACUGUUCCCAUUUAGAACAAACGAGUAACAUCCAUUUUUGGCUCAAAUCAUCUUGGAAGCUCAUAUUUAGGGUUUGCAUGUCACAAGAUUUGAAAUUGGUGAAAUUUGAGAAGGAUUCGAGGGGGUUGAUUUAGGGAUCUGGAAAGAAGAGGAGGUGAGGAGUGUUUGGUGUAAUUUUGAAGUGAUUUGGAGACCGGGCACCACCGUGAGGCGAUUUUUGGUGGCGGAAUACGGCGGAGAUGACAGAGAAUAUGAGGGCGGCUAGGGUUUACCCUCUUUGAGUUUGAGAGAUAUAGAAUGGGGGGGCGUUUGGACAAUUUUAUACUUAGGAACGGGUAGUUC